AGAACGAACGCUGGCGGCAUGCCUAAUACAUGCAAGUCGAACGAACUCUUCGGAGUUAGUGGCGCACGGGUGCGUAACGCGUGGGAAUCUGCCCCUUGGUUCGGAAUAACAGUUGGAAACGACUGCUAAUACCGGAUGAUGACGAAAGUCCAAAGAUUUAUCGCCAAGGGAUGAGCCGCGUAGGAUUAGCUAGUUGGUGAGGUAAAGGCUCACCAAGGCAACGAUCCUUAGCUGGUCUGAGAGGAUGAUCAGCCGACACUGGGACUGAGACACGGCCCAGACU
rnacentral:rRNA from 1 species